GCCGGAGUAGCUCAGGGGUAGAGCGCAUCCUUGGUAAGGAUGAGGUCACGAGUUCAAUUCUCGUCUUCGGCU
rfam:Tangfeifania diversioriginum strain DSM 27063 genome assembly, contig: Ga0131164_105